rnacentral:tRNA from 1 species
GGAGAGGUGUCCGAGAGGCCGAAGGAGCGCGCUUGGAAAGCGCGUAUGGGGAUAACUCAUCGAGGGUUCGAAUCCCUCCCUCUCCGCCA